ACGUUAAAGCAUCUUCGGAUGUGUAUAAAGUGGCGAAACGGCUGAGUACACGUGGGCAACCUGCCCUUUGCACUGGGAUAGCCUCGGGAAAACCGAGGUUAAUACCGGAUACUCCAUAUUUGUCGCAUGGCGAAUAUGGGAAAGCUCCGGCGGCAAGGGAUGGGCCCGCGGCCUGUUAGCUAGUUGGUGGGGUAGUGGCCUACCAAGGCAAUGAUGGGUAGCCGGGUUGAGAGACCGACCGGCCAGAUUGGGACUGAGACACGGCCCAGACUCCUACGGGAGGCAGCAGUGGGGAAUCUUGCACAAUGGGCGAAAGCCUGAUGCAGCGACGCCGCGUGCGGGAUGAAGGCCUUCGGGUUGUAAACCGCUUUCAGCAGGGACGAGGCCGCAAGGUGACGGUACCUGCAGAAGAAGCCCCGGCUAACUACGUGCCAGCAGCCGCGGUAAAU
rnacentral:rRNA from 1 species